UUAAUGAAGCCGUUUUAGAGUAUAGAUCAUGCAUCUGAAGUGUCACUGCUCAGUUCUUUGCUAUGUAGGCGUUAAAUCACUUUUAUUUCUCUCCAUACAGCCCUAGCCACACCACUAUUAACAAAGCAGGAGAUAAGAAAUUCUAAAUGAAACUAAAUUUGCAAUAAAGGAAGGGUAAACAUUAGAUCUCAAAUUACAGGAAGUGUUUAUGAAGGCUGUGCAUGUUACUUGCUAGGAGAUGUGACUAGCAGUGGUGCCUCAAUCAUAGGGGCACUUGGGGCAACGCCCAGCAGUUGUUAUCUGGGGAAACAAUUUAUUUAUAGAAGAUAAGAAACAAAUAUUUUUUUCUGGAUGGAAGGGUAGUAAGACAGAAAAUAUAGGACAAAAAUAGUGUCUUUCUAAUUAUGUAAUAGAUCUCAGUGCUGCAGUGCACCUUCCCCUCAGUAGCUGUUUGGAGAAGUUUGCUUGAGAGCAUCUAGUCAUGUCAAAAAAUGGGGCUGGUUUAAAAUAUGUGCCGUUUCACCAGGUUAUGGACGUACCUAGUGUCCAUAAGAAGGAAUUGCCAAUCAGCUGCCCAUGAGUGGAGGCAUGCUAUUGGCCUCUCUGUUCAUCAUUAGCUGAUAGCACCAUGGGAUGAGGUUACAGUGCUCACAGGAGAGGGAAGCAAAUGGCCAUCUUGGAAGUAACACAGAGAGCACAGUAGCAGCAGCUCCUGGCCCUGCUAAAUAUACAUGUAUAGUAUUAUCUUUUUAUUUACCCCAAUAGCCCAAGUGGCUGCCUGAGGGCUGAUAUGCACAUACCCACCAUCUUCUUCCAAAUGCUCAGUCACUCUACAGCUGAAACACUCAUGCUGUGGCCAGUUGAAAAGUUGUGAAGCUUCAAACUGCGGGACUGGGGCUGUGACUCUAAAGACUGAUCUGAUUUCAAUCUGUUUUAAUCUGUAAUAAUUGUUGAUUCUGUUAACCAUGUCAGUUCCUUCUUGGCUCCAUAUUACCACUGCUGAUUAAUUAUAUUGCUAGAUGCAAAGAUAAUGAGUCUAUCAGUAGCCUGCUGUUUAACAAUGUGCACACGGUGUGCUGAGAGCUAAUGAAGUAGCUGACAUUUUUCACAACAGAAGCAAUGUUUAAUAGAAAGCUAAAGUUAUCAUAGCAGGAGCACUACUGAAGAUGAGAUCAUGUAAGGGAGAGCUAAGAGAGGGCCAGGAAUAUAGAGAGAGCUAAACAUUUUGCAGAGACAGGCACUGUAUGGGUAUCUCUACAUUGCAACUCUGUAAGAUCCAUCACAGUGAUCCUGGAUGUGUGGGAUACUUAUAUUAUCACCUUAUUUUGCCCAGCUCUGUGUGUUAUUUCUCUGUUUUUUAUUUAGCUCUUCCCAGUGUAUGGGUAUCUGUAGUCUACCCAGCUCUGUAUUAUAUGGAUAUCUCUAUGCUGUGUAAGAAGGAGUAAUAUUCUGGUGCACCACCAUCUUACAACUUCACUAGGGCUAGGGCUGCAUAAACAAAGCCAUUUAACUUCUAAAUGGCAGGGAAUUGAGUGGUGAGACUGCAGGAGCAUGAUCUAUACACUAAAACUGCUUCAUCAAGCUAAAGUUGGGCAGACUAGAUGUUCCGAAUGGUUAUCUGCCGUCACAUUCUAUGUUUCUAAGUUGUUUUGGUGACUAUAGUGUCCACUAAUAUCACUAAUUUGUGAAUUAAACAUGUAUUGACUUAACUCUCAAGACCAAGCAAAAUUAGACCAUGGAAUAAAGUAAUAAGCAUUGAAUAUAUGUACUAAGCUUUUAAAUGGGCUAUUUAUUAAAGUGAAAGUUGUGCUGAAUUCUAAGUGAAUUUCAAAUUUUUGUCAAAAAUAACCAACCUGGAAGCACAACUAACUUGGAGAAUUUUCUAAAAUUCAGCUAUUUGAUAUUAGGUUUGAAAUUUGCAUUGAAUUCACUUGAAAUUCCUAACAGUGUUCCCAUAAUAGCAGCAAUACUUCCUUCCAAACUGGAUGCAGAAACACACACAGUAUACACCAAAAUGUUCUUGUUGGAAAAGUAUUUUCACUGACUGCGGUCUUUGUCCUAAAUUUAGCAAUUUAGUCAUCAAUUCACCGUAUAAGCCCACCAGCCAAAUAGGUUUGUUAUAUUUCAAUAAUAUAUCUGCACUUUACAAGAUUUUUUACUUCCAAAAGAGUGGACUGCGGAAUUCGAAAGCUAUUUUAAGGUACCAGAUUUAAUUUGAUUGGUAUUCUUAUUUUAAAUUCAAAAUACUAUAACAACCAUUGUUGGUAUUAUUGAUUCUGUUAUAUUAUUCCCCUCUACAGCCAUUCCUGUUGACCUUUUCAACACAUUCAUUAGCCUCCUUCACUUGUUGACCUUAAUUAUGUUGAAAAUAUUUUAAGCAGGCCAUCUAAAUCUUGCAUUCUCAGCUCAAUAGCAUUGGCAGUAAUUGCAAAAGCCACCAGACUAAAUAUUGAAAUGUGUCUCAUGAGCCCAGAGGCUGGAUUCUGUAAUCAAAGAGUUUAUUACUGUUUAAAUACAUCAAAUGAUAAAUCACUAUUCAAUUAUCAGAGAUAACUGUAUCUCUAAUCAUACAAUUUAGUCACAGGGGAGCAAUUAUAGUUUGUUGGGUGAGCAUAGACCCAUAUGAACAUGUUUUACCUGGUCUUCCUAUUUUAUCCUUAAAUAAACACUCUGGGAACCAUAAAAUGAAGUUGUUAUAGUACUUGGAGGGCAUGGGCAUCGUGUUUCCGUAAGGGUUAAACCAUUUGUAAAUGGUUUAACCCCUUAGGGUAAGACAGUGCCCAGAAGCUAUAAGAACCAUGACAACUUCAUCUGGAUGAAGUUGUUAUGGUGCCCAGAUUAUUCCCUUUAAAAUAAAUUGCUUUAUGAGCUAUCAGUCAGUGAAAAACCUGAGAAUUGAGAAUCCCUAAAAUAUGUAAUAUAAUAGUCCAUUAUGAUUAUUUUACAUAGGGAUUCACUGGACUGUGGUAGCCAACUGGUUCUACAUGCAGUACAUGCAGAAAAUUGAACUUGUCAGGAAUAAAAAUAUAUCCUUUAACGCUUUAAUAAGGAGUCACUGGAUCUAGCACCCUGAGAAUUUUCCCAUUUAUCCUAAAACCAUGAGUCUGGAGUCAAAAACCUGAGGCUCACAGUCAAAACCUGAGAAUUCCCAGAUAUAUUCAUAGUCUAUCCUGUGAAUCACAUCCUCAUAAGCAACUGGACAAUAGUCAUUUAUCAGCCUUUGAUUUAAUUAACUAAACAGUUUUCAUAAAUAUGGCUUCCUAAUAUCACAACACAUAAGGCCACUUCUGACUGCUGGGGUACUUUCCUUUUUCCAUUGGCAUAUUGAUUUUGCCCUAGACAUAUCGAUUAUUUACUAGACUACAAUGCUUUAUAAUAAUAGCUGCAAACUGUGAGUUUGUACAGUCCUUUCUUCAGGCUUACCAUAAGCACAAUGUUUUUAAAAAGACAGGUGUACCAAUCAAUAUUUUUACAUUCAUUUUACCUGAUGUCAAGUCUGUGCUUAUAUAGAAUUGACAUGCUUACUGAAUAAAAGUAUGUCUUACUAAAUAACCAAACAAGUAAAUAUACCUUCUAUCUGACAUGCUGAUAACCAUAAUGAAAUAUGUUUGUAAAGUAGUACUUAUACUGUACCACUCUCCUACAGGAGGUUCAGUUCUCGUCUCACAUUAAUGAUUUAUUGUACUAUUAAAUCACUCUUCUGCCUGACCCAUGAACAAGAUGUGGCUGUCAGUAACAUCAUCGGGAUUUUCCACUUUGUCUAGUGCAGUGGUAGACAACCUACGGAGCUCUAGAUGUUGUGGACUAUAUCUCUCAUAAUGCUCUUACAGCCUCAAUGCUGGCAACGCAUCAGGGGAUAUGUAGUCCAUUAAAUCUGGAGUCUACUGGUCUGGUGUAUAGUACAAUAGUUUCUGCCUAGUAAGAACUAUGUUGCAAAAGUGUUGGUAGGAGCCGCACUCAAUUCCAGCAGCAACCCGGUUCCCCCGGAGCAGGACCAGCAAUCCCACAACGUCAAGGCAAUGAAAGAAAUUCUCCAGGCACUCAAGGUGUUAAAGCCGCAGGCAGUUUUAAUGGAACAAAAAGAGAGCAGCAACGUUUCGACCUAUUAUGAGGUCUUUAACAAGACCUCAUAGUAGGUGCCUGGAGAAUUUCUUUCAUUGUAAGAACUACGUAACAUAAAACAUAUAUAGUGCAGUGGUAAGUGGAACUCUUUAAAUUAGCACUGUAUUUUUUUUCCUUUCCUUAUACCCUUUGUAUCUUAUACUCCCCUACUUGCCACAUGCCUUAAUUUAAAAUUAUCUUUUUCCAUUCACCAAACCUCAAUAACAGAGCACCUUCAUUUUGUUCUCCUGUGUUCAUGAUGUCAACAGUUUGCCACUUCAGUGGGAUUCUUUUGACUGAUGGAUUGUGGGUAAAUUCAUAGGCCUGGGCACACCCCAAUACCUGUGGCCUGCGCAUGGAUCGGGGCCGGCAGGGGAGAUCACAGAUCUCUCUCACCGGCCCACAGGCAGGGAGGGAGGCAGGAGAGGACCCGAGGAGCUUUAGCCAGCAGCUCCUCCCUGGUUCCUCUAGCGAGGUCAGAGCGGCAACACUCGGAUCUCGCAGGAGUGAACUCUAGCCCUGCAGGCCUGAGUUCACUCACCACUAGGACCACCAGGGAUCAGAGAUGGCAGCAAAGAUCCCCCUCCCAGGCAAAAGGUAAGAAGGGAGGGGGGCUCUUUCCUAAUCUGUCCCCCCCACACAAUCACUCCAAACAAAUUCACACACACACAGCACACUAACAGCACCCUCACACACACCACACUAACAGCACCCUCACACACACCACACUAACAGCACCCUCUCACACACACAGCACACUAACAGCACCCUCAUACACACACACUAACAGCACCCUUACACACACAGCACCGUUACA